rnacentral:lncRNA from 1 species
AUGUCAGAGUCAAGUGAGCCUACAACUCAGGUUAGGGAAAGCAUAGAAGAAUAUCAAGUUGGUGUUGCUGAAGUCCAGCAAGAGAAAGCGCAGCAGCCAAGACGAAGUCAAAGAGUCAGAACUCUAACCGAAAAAGGUAGAGAAUUGCAAGAUGAAAAAACUAAAGCGCUUCAUCAAAGGUUCAAUUACAUUUAUGAUAAAUGGAGAACCCAAGUUAAAUCUUCAAAGAAGUCAUUAUCACAGUCAACAGAGCCCUUACCUGAUGAUCUGCUUAAUGACAUCAUCGGUUGCAUCACAGGUCUUUCUGCAGACGUUCAGCGUGUUUAUGAUGAACUACGUGACGUCUCAAUUCCAGAGCAAGACACGCAUCGAAAAGUGGAUCUGUGUGUAGAGAUUUCCAAGUUCAUUGUAUCCAGAGCCUCAAGUCGACUGGAUGGAAAGAUUCCAGAAGGAGAAAAACAAGAUUGGCCUGAAUCAGGCUCUCUCUUCGACUCAAGUACAUACAAAUCAGGUUCUGUCACUUCUUUCUUGAAAAGCAAUUCGGUGCAUUCAAGUAGGUCUUCUGUUAAACGACAAGAAGAUGCUGCUGAAGCUGCUGCAAGCCAAGCUGUUCUGAAAGUGUUACAAGAACAAGAGAAAGAACAAUUGGAAAUACAGCGCCUAGAAGCAGAAGCUAAAAGGAAGAUAGCUGAUCAAGAAGCAGCAGCAGUAAGGCGUUGUUUAGAACGAGAAGCAGAGGAAGUGAAACGAAGACUACAGAAAGAGGAAGACGAAUCUAAAAUUAAGGCUCAAAUGGAAGAAGAGUUUGGAGCUCUACAGAAAACUCUGGAAGAAAAACGGAGGAAGAUACAGCAUCUGGAGGCAGUAAAAGGUCUUAAUGCAGCACGAGCGAGAAUGCAGGUAUAUGAUCAAAUGAAAGUCAUAGAAGAAGAACGGAAAGACAUACUGGAGCAUGAGAUGGUAGCAGAUAACAAAGUCCCGGCUCCUUCAAAUCCUCAGGCUCUACGUAUGAACUCAAUCCCACAAGCUAUGACCACUUCAAAUGAAAGUACAUCAGAGCUCAUUAAGGUGCUUGCAGGCGCUUUAAGUGCCAACAGAAUUCCAGUUCCUGAACCUUCAGUUUUCAGUGGCGAUCCAUUGCAAUACAACGAUUGGAAACUCUCCUUUGAAACACUGAUCGACCAGAAGAACCUUCAAGACAAAGAAAAGAUAUACUACCUUCGAAGAUAUGUGAGUGGAAAAGCUAAGAAAGCACUCGAUGGUUAUUUUCUUCUCGGAACUGAGUCUGCCUAUGUUGCUGCAUGGGAGAUUUUGGAAGAGAGAUACGGAAACCGAUUUACGAUUGCAAAAGCAUACAGAGACAAGCUCCAAGCGUGGCCCAAAAUAGGAUCUAAGGACAGCCUUGAGCUCAGGGAGUUCAGUGAUUUUCUCCGUAGUUGUGAAGCUGCCAUGGUUCACAUCAAGGCAUUGGAAAUCUUGAACGACUGUAAUGAAAACAGGAAAAUUCUCUCCAAGUUACCUGAUUGGCUAACGGCAAGAUGGAAUCGGAAGGUUAUCGAAGUAGAAGAAGAGAUAAACCAAUUUCCCUCCUUUAGCCAAUUUGUCAAAUUUCUGGCAAGGGAGGCCAAAAUUGCCUGCAAUUCUGUCACAUCAUUGCAGUCACUAAAACAAGGUGAAGCUGAAAACCCAAAAGUCCAAAAACAACAAAACUUCAGAGCAAAGACACUGACCACAAGUUCCAGCGAACAGACUUUUAUCACAUGCACUUUCUGUAAGAAAACUGGGCAUACUUUGCACAAAUGCAGGAAGUUCAUGCAGAAAGCAGUUUCAGACAGAAUCAAAUUCAUUCAAGUUGAAAGUCUAUGCUUUGGGUGUCUCAGGUCUGGUCACCAGUCAAAGAACUGCAACAGUAGAAGUGUCUGCGACAUUUGCAAUAAGCGGCAUCCUACCUGUCUGCAUGAGGAGCGAGACAAAAAAGAACAAAGACCGCCACAAGCCAAGCAAAAUCCAAGUCAAGAAAGAUACAGAGAAAUACCUCAAUCAUCCCAACAUGAAGAAACCACAGCUGCUACUUCCAAUAGAGUAAUACUUGGUGAAGCUAAUGCACAAACAGCUGCAGUAAUUCCUGUCUGGCUUUCAUCCUUAACUCAACCAGAAAAAGAAGUCCUUGUAUAUGCUCUGUUGGAUUCUCAAAGCGACACAACCAGAGGUGUAAAAAGUACUCAAAAUUUUUACUCAAGUGAAAGUACAAGUACUUAG